CAGAGUCUCCCUCUCAGGUCCCGUGGCCAGGAGCUUUCUGGGCACCCUGAGCAAAACGUCUCCUCCCAGGCGACCUCGUCUCCAGACUGCGCAUCUAUAUGCUCUGCACAUGAGAACAGCACCCCCCGCCGCCACCCCAGCCCUUCCCGGAGAGAGGACUCCAGGCUGCUUCGCCUGCUAUUUAAAAUCCUGGGCAAAUGCAUUUGGCGAUGUUAAGUGAAGAUUGUGAAAACGUGAAUAACUGUGACAAAAUUAUACCAGCCAGGUUUGAAAAUAAAUGGAGCAUGCUCUGAAUUUGAUUGAAAGAAGAAAAAAAAAAGAAUUCAAAAAUCAUUUGGAAAUUGGGCUGGAAAAAAAAA